ACAAAACCCCAACUUCCCUCUUCCCUUCUUUCUCAUAACCCACAUGAUCCCAAACUCACCCGACCCAAACACCGCUGACGCUUCGCGUGCUCACCCAUCCCGAAGCUGCCCAACGCAGAAUGCUAACUUCCAUUUGAACACUGAAUGUCGAACGCCUAACGUGAACGUGAACAUCGCUCCGUGCUCCCUUGCUCGCCGAAUGUCGAAUGCCAAACACGCUCCCUUGCUCGCCGAAUGUCGAAUGCCAAACACGCUCCCUUGCUCGCCAAACGCCUAGUCCAUGGUGGCAUGACAACGUGAUUGAUUCAGAUGCAUCUUAUUUUCGCUUAGUUUUCCUACAUCUAUGAUUUUGAGGUUCUUAUCGCCCUUGUUUGGACGACGAUGGACCCUUCCAUCGUCAUCUUUGUCGUCCUCUCUCAUUCUUUAUAGGGUGGGAAGUAGAAUCUACCACUUUUGAGUUUCUUUUCAUUUGGUUGCUUGUUUUAAGCUGAUGGACAAGGAAAAACCCCAAAGCCAUGGGGGAGGAUUUCUACACCAAUCAAGUCGUUACUCGGGUUUUUCAUCUGCUGAAAGUAGUUUCGAUGGAAAAUCUGAGGCAACAUCGUCUUCCAUCUCAUUCCCUCUAUUGGCUCCGAGUACUAAUUCUGAUUGGGGUCAAUCUGAUCGUGGAUUGUCCAUUGAUUCCACUCGGUUCAGCCAUGAUAUUAGUCGGAUGCCUAAAAAUCCACAGAGAAAUGUUAGUCAUAGGCGUGCCCAUUCAGAGAUCUUGACCCUCCCAGAUUAUAUUUGUUUCGAUAGUGACCUUGGUAUCAUUGGCGGGGCUUAUGUGCCUUCUCUUUCUGAUGAUACUGAGGAAGAUUUGUUGUCCAUGUACCUUGACAUGGAUAAAUUCAAUUCCUCGAUUGCUACUUCUGCAAAUCAAGUGGGUGACUCAUCUUCUUCCCUUGUAGAAGCAGCAACAGCAACUUCUACAGAAGAUAUUGUUGUUGGAUUGAAAGAGAGACCCAAAGUUAGACAUCAGCAGCAACUCAAAAGUGCCAUUUUUAAGAAAUGGAAAGAAAGGAGAAAAUUCCGAAAACGUCUUGUAGCUGCAAAAACGAAGCUGUCUGAAAUGGAACAAAAGCAUCCACAAUAUGGAAGCUUUUUUAGGUCACUUCCGAGACCACUGCCCAUCGUUGUAGCUGGGUGCUACUCCAUCACAGAAGAAGAAAGUUGUCAAAGAAGAAGUUGAUAAAGGAAGAUAAAGUGCCAAAUUAGUGCAGUCUAGUUUGCACUCCUGGAUUAAGCUCGAACAUCUAUAAAUGCAAAAUCAUAUUGUUUUAGACAUACAAACUCUCAAUAAAUUGUAAAUAGGGAAGCAUUGUCAUCUCGGAUUCGAUUGAUACACGAAAACCAUAUUCACAGGUUGAGUUAGAUGAGGUGCGCGUUGAGUUGGCUGAUUUUUUGGGUUCGUACAUAUGAUCUACGACUUAUUUGUGAUUCUGAAGCAGGAAAUUUUUUUUUGGCUAAUUUUUUGAAUUGUUCAUAUGGAGGGGUUGAUUGAUAUACUUUUAAGACUUUGUUGUGGUUUAGGGUUUAGGUGAAUUGUUCAUAUAUAGGAAGAUUGUCAUUGUGAAACUUUAUGUGUGGAGAUGAUAUACUUUUGGGCUAAGUUAGUUUAUUAGAUGAUGUUGAGUUGAAUUCUUGAAAAUCUGAUGGAAUUGUUUAUAUUGGUUUUGUAAAUGAUAUGAAUAUGAUGCAAAGUUUUGAAAAUGAUAUGAAUAGAUGAUGUUGAGUUGCCAUUUGAUGAA